CAGAGCGUAGCUAAAUAGUAUAGCAUCUCCCUUACACUGAGAAGACACCCGUGCAAGCCGGGUCGCCCUGA
rnacentral:tRNA from 1 species